CCUACGGGAUGCAGCAGUGGGGAAUAUUGGACAAUGGGCGAAAGCCUGAUCCAGCCAUGCCGCGUGAAUGAUGAAGGCCUUAGGGUUGUAAAGUUCUUUUGUCAGGGAAGAUGAUGACGGUACCUGAAGAAUAAGCACCGGCUAACUUCGUGCCAGCAGCCGCGGUAAUACGAAGGGUGCUAGCGUUGUUCGGAAUCACUGGGCGUAAAGCGCGCGUAGGUGGCUUUGCAAGUCAGAGGUGAAAUCCACAGGCUCAACCUGGGAACUGCCUUUGAAACUGCAAGCUUGAGUGUUGGAGGGGAUAGCGGAAUUGCUAAUGUAGAGGUGAAAUUCGUAGAUAUUAGCAGGAACACCGGUGGCGAAGGCGGCUAUCUGGACAACAACUGACACUGAGGCGCGAAAGCGUGGGGAUCAAACAGGAUUAGAUACCCCUGUAGUC
rnacentral:rRNA from 1 species